GCCUGGGUGGCUCAGUUGGUCAAGCAGCGGGUUUCAGUUCAGGUCACGAUCUCGCUGGUUGUGAGUUCGAGCCCCACCUCGGGCU
rnacentral:tRNA from 1 species